rnacentral:rRNA from 1 species
GACGGAGGGGGCUAGCGUUGUUCGGAAUGACUGGGCGUAAAGGGCGCGUAGGCGGUUUUUUUAAGUGAGGCGUGAAAGCCCUGGGCUUAACCCAGGAGGUGCGUUUCAGACUGAAAAGCUUGAGUGCGAGAGAGGAAAGUGGAAUUCCUAGUGUAGAGGUGAAAUUCGUAGAUAUUAGGAAGAACACCAGCGGCGAAGGCGGCUUUCUGGUCUGAUACUGACGCUGAGGCGCGAAAGCGUGGGGAGCGAUCCGG